GUAUGGAUGUAGAUCGAAAAUGUGGACUCCAGAUUUGGAAGGAAUUUGAAGCCUGUUGCCAUCACUGAUUACAUUUAGCUUUCUAAAGAAAAUGAUGAUAUCUUAUGAUACUGGGGGCAGUGUUUUCUGAUAUUAGCUAUCUCUAGGAUCAGGUGAUCAGGACUCUGGGUCACAAGGGAAAAAAAACACAAGGCCUGAGAAUCACUAGAAGGAGAAGCCAAUUUUUUGUGAAUAGGGAAAAUUUUCAUGUCAACACUGAGAAUCACUAGAAGGAAUUGCAAAGCAUAGUUCUAAUAAAAUAUCGGCCAUAGAGAAAAGAGUGAAGAACGGUCCCCACUCCCCAAAUCAUUGUGAUAAGAGGUAUCUAAAUCUGGAAAGCCAACUGACCUGAGUGAUAAUAAUGCAAACUAUACAAUCUUGAUUUCACUGACAAAAGGGCAAUAUUGGCAAUGCAAAAAACAAAAAGUAGUAGAGCGCAAAUUAGAUUUUUGGGGCGCACUGAACUAAAUUCUCCAAUGCUCUUCCAUUCAAGCUGGUAGCUAUUGGUCAGCUUAUACUCAAUCUCAAUGAGCAAAACACUAGACCCUCCCUCCUAGAAUUUAUACUAGGUGUUUCAAUAUGAAGGAUGUGCCUUUUUCCUAAUACAGGACAAGACAGCAUAAUACACAAAUGUCUUGGUUACUAAUGCUUCAAAGUAAGAACAAGUACAUUGAAUUAUCAUACAGCAUUUGACCAGAAAAUAACAAUCAUCAGCUUUUAUUCAAAAUAUAUAUAGACACACCGGUGAAUCAGCAUCCCAAGU
rnacentral:misc_RNA from 1 species